UGCCCUGCMUCUGGGACAAGCCCUGGAAACGGGGUCUAAUACCGGAUACUGAUCGCCUUGGGCAUCCUUGGUGAUCGAAAGCUCCGGCGGUGCAGGAUGAGCCCGCGGCCUAUCAGCUUGUUGGUGAGGUAAUGGCUCACCRAGGCGACGACGGGUAGCCGGCCUGAGAGGGCGACCGGCCACACUGGGACUGAGACACGGCCCAKACUCCUACGGGAGGCAGCAGUGGGGAAUAUUGCACAAUGGGCGAAAGCCUGAUGCACGACGCCGCGUGAGGGAUGACGGCCUUCGGGUUGUAAACCUCUUUCAGCAGGGAAGAAGCGAAAGUGACGGUACCUGCAGAAGAASCGCCGGCUAACUACGUGCCASCAGCCGCGGUAAUACGUAGGCGCGAGCGUUGUCCGGAAUUAUUGGGCGUAAAGAGCUCGUAGGCGGCUUGUCGCGUCGGUUGUGAAAGCCCGGGGCUUAACCCCGGGUCUGCAGUCGAUACGGGCAGGCUAGAGUUCGGUAGGGGAGAUCGGAAUUCCUGGUGUAGCGGUGAAAUGCGCAGAUAUCAGGAGGAACACCGGUGGCGAAGGCGGAUCUCUGGGCCGAUACUGACGCUGAGGAGCGAAAGCGUGGGGAGCGAACAGGAUUAGAUACCMUGGUAGUCCACGCCGUAAACGGUGGGCACUAGGUGUGGGCGACAUUCCACGUCGUCCGUGCCGCAGCUAACGCAUUAAGUGCCCCGCCUGGGGAGUACGGCCGCAAGGCUAAAACUCAAAGGAAUUGACGGGGGCCCGCACAAGCGGCGGAGCAUGUGGSUUAAUUMGAYGCAACGCGAAGAACCUUACCAAGGCUUGACAUACACCGGAAACGUCCAGAGAUGGGCGCCCCCUUGUGGUCGGUGUACAGGUGGUGCAUGGCUGUCGUCAGSUCGUGUCGUGAGAUGUUGGGUUAAGUCCCGCAACGAGCGCAACCCUUGUCCCGUGUUKCCAGCAGGCCCUUGUGGUGSUGGGGACUCACGGGAGACCGCCGGGGUCAAMUCGGAGGAAGGUGGGGAYGACGUCAAGUCAUCAUGCCCCUUAUGUCUUGGGCUGCACACGUGCUACAAUGGCCGGUACAAUGAGCUGCGAUACCGCGAGGUGGAGCGAAUCUCAAAAA
rnacentral:rRNA from 1 species